rnacentral:rRNA from 1 species
UAGGGAAUCUUCGGCAAUGGGGGGAACCCUGACCGAGCAACGCCGCGUGAGUGAAGAAGGUUUUCGGAUCGUAAAGCUCUGUUGUUAAGGAAGAACGAGUGUGAGAAUGGAAAGUUCAUGCUGUGACGGUACUUAACCAGAAAGGGACGGCUAACUACGUGCCAGCAGCCGCGGUAAUACGUAGGUCCCGAGCGUUGUCCGGAUUUAUUGGGCGUAAAGCGAGCGCAGGCGGUUAGAAAAGUCGGAAAUGAAAGGCAGUGGCUCAAGAAUUGUAGGCUUUGGAAACUGUUUAACUUGAGUGCAGAAGGGGAGAGUGGAAUUCCAUGUGUAGCGGUGAAAUGCGUAGAUAUAUGGAGGAACACCGGUGGCGAAAGCGGCUCUCUGGUCUGUAACUGACGCUGAGGCUCGAAAGCGUGGGGAGCGAACAGG